rnacentral:rRNA from 1 species
AUUGAACGCUGGCGGCAUGCCUUACACAUGCAAGUCGAACGGCAGCACGGGUGCUUGCACCUGGUGGCGAGUGGCGCACGGGUGAGUAAUACAUCGGAACAUGUCCUGUAGUGGGGGAUAGCCCGGCGAAAGCCGGAUUAAUACCGCAUACGAUCUACGGCUGAAAGCGGGGGCCCUUCGGGCCUCGCGCUAUAGGGUUGGCCGAUGGCGGAUUAGCUAGUUGGUGGGGUAAAGGCCUACCAAGGCGACGAUCAGUAGCUGGUCUGAGAGGACGACCAGCCACACUGGGACUGAGACACGGCCCAGACUCCUACGGGAGGCAGCAGUGGGGAAUUUUGGACAAUGGGCGAAAGCCUGAUCCAGCAAUGCCGCGUGUGUGAAGAAGGCCUUCGGGUUGUAAAGCACUUUUGUCCGGAAAGAAAUCCUUGGCCCUAAUACGGUCGGGGGAUGACGGUACCGGAAGAAUAAGCACCGGCUAACUACGUG